GGAAAGGACGCUUUGCCUCAGACCGGGACAAUCGGUAACUCCCGCCUGCUGUACAAAGUAUUGGGACUUCCCUGGCUGAUUGUGGUGUGGAUGUUAUCCACUUACCACUCUUCUUCAGCCUGAGUAUCAUCUACUAACUGCAUAUACUCAAUAUCUCCAUCUUCAGCUGACUCUGUGUGGCAAUAGGUAACCUGUGUGCACUGCUCUGGAGGAUUAACUUUGCCCCCAGGCUUCUGAGAGGGCUCAGUCACUGGAAGAUGCCAGCUGUUCAGAGUUCUGGAAUAUGAGGUGGGCCCCAAAUCUGAUGACAAGUUUCCCAAUAAGAGUGAGGCAGAGGAUUUUUGACACAGCCAGGGGAGAAGACCAUGGACCACGGAGGCAGAAACUGGAGUGAUGUAGCCACAAGUCAACGAAUGCUGAUGGCCACCAGGAGGUGCAAGAGACAAAGAAUGAUUUUCUCCCUUAGAGACUCGGGAGGGAGCACAGCCCUGCCAACAGCUUGAUUUCAGACUUCUGGCCUCCA
rnacentral:lncRNA from 1 species